AUACGUAGGGGGCGAGCGUUGUCCGGAAUUAUUGGGCGUAAAGGGCGCGUAGGCGGCCGUUUAAGUCUGAUGUGAAAGUGCGGUGCUUAACGCCGUAAAGCAUUGGAAACUGGACGGCUUGAGGACAGGAGAGGAAAGUGGAAUUCCUAGUGUAGCGGUGAAAUGCGUAGAUAUUAGGAGGAACACCAGUGGCGAAGGCGACUUUCUGGACUGUAACUGACGCUGAGGCGCGAAAGCGUGGGGAGCAAACAGGAUUAGAUACCCUGGUAGUCCACGCCGUAAACGAUGAGUGCUAGGUGUAGAGGGUAUCGACCCCUUCUGUGCCGUAGUUAACACAAUAAGCACUCCGCCUGGGGACUACGGCCGCAAGGCUAAA
rnacentral:rRNA from 1 species